UACGUAGGGUGCAAGCGUUAAUCGGAAUUACUGGGCGUAAAGCGUGCGCAGGCGGUUCGCUAAGACAGAUGUGAAAUCCCCGGGCUUAACCUGGGAACUGCAUUUGUGACUGCACGGCUAGAGUGUGUCAGAGGGGGGUAGAAUUCCACGUGUAGCAGUGAAAUGCGUAGAUAUGUGGAGGAAUACCGAUGGCGAAGGCAGCCCCCCUGGGAUAACACUGACGCUCAUGCGCGAAAGCGUGGGGAGCAACAGG
rnacentral:rRNA from 1 species